rnacentral:misc_RNA from 1 species
AAGUCGUAACAAGGUUUCCGUAGGUGAACCUGCGGAAGGAUCAUUACCGAGUUCAUGCCCUCCGGGUAGAUCUCCCACCCUUGAAUACAUACCUUUGUUGCUUUGGCGGGCCACGUCCGCGUGUCGGCUUCGGCUGGCUGCGCCCGCCAGAGGACCCCAACUCGUUUGUUUAGUGAUGUCUGAGUACUAUAUAAUAGUUAAAACUUUCAACAACGGAUCUCUUGGUUCUG